GGGGGCGAAUAUGGCUUCGACGGGAAUGUCAAUGUCUUACGGUGCAUGCCGAGGGUGUAUCUGCCUCGUAAAACACGUUACAAUUUGCUAAUAACUGGCAAAAACAAAGCAAACCGCGUUGUAGCUAACGACACAGCUUUUGCUGCUCGUAAAGCUGCUUAAUCUAGCUUAAGAACCUAGAUACGCACGAACCGAUAGUAUUUGCUUGUGGAUCUAUCUUACGUUCGUUCAUCUCUUUCACAAGAUCGCCAAGGUGUCUGUCUAAACACUGCGGUUAAACCUUAAGACUCGCUUAAAUGCUGCCCUGAUUUAUCGGGCAAAUUUAAGUUAAAGAUAAUAGAUAAAUCUAAGCAUGUAGAUCUGAAGAUGGCGAGUUUGCGGACGCGGGUUCAACUCCCGCCGCCUCCACCA
rnacentral:tmRNA from 1 species